UGGCGGACGGGUGAGUAAUGCGUGAGCAACCUGCCCUUCAGAGGGGGACAACAGUUGGAAACGACUGCUAAUACCGCAUAAUGUAUUCGGAAGGCAUCUUCUGGAUACCAAAGGAGAAAUCCGCUGAUGGAUGGGCUCACGUCUGAUUAGCUAGUUGGUGAGGUAACGGCUCACCAAGGCUGCGAUCAGUAGCCGGACUGAGAGGUUGAACGGCCACAUUGGGACUGAGAUACGGCCCAGACUCCUACGGGAGGCAGCAGUGGGGAAUAUUGGGCAAUGGGCGAAAGCCUGACACAGCAACGCCGCGUGAAGGAAGAAGGCCUUCGGGUUGUAAACUUCUUUUAAGAGGGACGAAGAAGUGACGGUACCUCUUGAAUAAGCCACGGCUAACUACGUGCCAGCAGC
rnacentral:rRNA from 1 species